UACGAAGGGUGCAAGCGUUAAUCGGAAUUACUGGGCGUAAAGCGCGCGUAGGUGGUUCAGCAAGUUGGAUGUGAAAGUCCUGGGCUCAACCUGGGAACUGCAUCCAAAACUACUGAGCUAGAGUACGGUAGAGGGAAGGGGAAUUCCGGGUGUAGCGGUGAAAUGCGUAGAUAUCCGGAGGAACACCAGUGGCGAAGGCGCCUUCCUGGGCCAAUACUGACGCUGAGGCGCGAAAGCGUGGGGAGCAAACAGGAUUAGAAACCCCGGUAGU
rnacentral:rRNA from 1 species